UGGGGAAUAUUGCGCAAUGGAGGAAACUGUGAUGCAGNNGCGCCGCGUGAGNGAUGAAGGUCUUCGAAUUGUAAAGCUCUGUCCUUAAGGAAGAUAAUGACGGUACCUUAUGAGGAAGCCCCGGCUCACUACGUGCCAGCAGCCGCGGUAAUACGUACGGGGCNAGCGUUGUCCGGAAUUANUGGGCGUAAACGGUNCGCAGGGCGCCUUGUNNGUCAGAUGUGACAGACCACGGCUUAACUGUGGNNAGCAUUUGAAACUGUUUGGCUUGANUGGNGGNNAGGACAGCGGAAUUUCUAGUGUAGCGGUGAAAUGCGUANAUCUUNNGAAGANUACCAGUGGCGAAUGCNGCUCUCUGGCCUUNAACUGACGCUGNGGNACUAAAGCUUGGGGAGCANACCGGAUUAGAUACCCUGGUAGUCCACGCUGUAUACGAUGANUGCUAGGUGUCGGGGGUCAUACCUCGGUGCCGGAGGUAACGCAUUAAGCACUUCGCCUGGGGAGUACCGGNCUGCAUGGNUG
rnacentral:rRNA from 1 species